rnacentral:rRNA from 1 species
GACGAACGCUGGCGGCGUGCCUAACACAUGCAAGUCGAACGGACAGGCCAUGAUCUUGUGGGGCGCUUGAGUGGCGAACGGGUGUGUAUCACGUGUGUAACAUGCCCCUGACUUUGGGAUAACUCUACGAAAAUCGGGCUCAUACAGGAUAGGAGCUCUUGAAGCACGGUGGGGGUUGGUGAGUUUCGGCGGUUGGGGAUGGUUUAGCGGGUUACCAGCUUGAUAGGGAGGUAGUGGAGUUCGAAGCUUUUGACGGCUAGCCGGCCUGAGAGGGUGACCAGCCUCAAUGGGACUAAGGGAGGGACCAGUCGCCAACGGGAGGCAGCAGUGGGAAAUAUUACACAAUGGGCGGACGCCUGAUACAACAACGCCCGGUGCGUAAUGACGUCUUUCUGGGUGUAAACCGCUUUGGCCUGAGACGAGGCGAGAUUGACGGUAAUUAGUAAAAAAGCAACGGCUAACUACGUG